AUCCUAAGAGGGUGUCAAGUGGCAUGUCCUGGACCCGAAGCGGGGUGAUCUACCCAUGGCCAGUGUGAAGCAGCUGUAAGAGGUUGUGGAGGCGCGAACCCACUUAGGUUGAAAACUGAGGGGAUGAGCUGUGGGUAGGGGUGAAAGGCCAAUCAAACUCCGUGAUAGCUGGUUCUCCCCGAAAUGCAUUUAGGUGCAGCGUGAUGUGUGCUUACCGGAGGUAGAGCUACUGGAUGGCCGAGCGGGACUAUCAUCUUAGUGACGUCAGCCAAACUCCGAAUGCCGGUUUAAGUUUGAGCAUUGCAGUGAGACUGUGG
rnacentral:rRNA from 1 species